rnacentral:rRNA from 1 species
UACACACGGAUAACAUACCGAAAGGUAUGCUAAUACGGGAUAAUAUAUUUGAGAGGCAUCUCUUAAAUAUCAAAGGUGAGCCAGUACAGGAUGGACCCGCGUCUGAUUAGCUAGUUGGUAAGGUAACGGCUUACCAAGGCAACGAUCAGUAGCCGACCUGAGAGGGUGAUCGGCCACAUUGGAACUGAGACACGGUCCAAACUCCUACGGGAGGCAGCAGUGGGGAAUAUUGCACAAUGGGCGAAAGCCUGAUGCAGCAACGCCGCGUGAGUGAUGAAGGCCUUCGGGUCGUAAAACUCUGUCCUCAAGGAAGAUAAUGACGGUACUUGAGGAGGAAGCCCCGGCUAACUACGUGCCAGCAGCCGCGGUAAUACGUAGGGGGCUAGCGUUAUCCGGAUUUACUGGGCGUAAAGGGUGCGUAGGCGGUCUUUCAAGUCAGGAGUGAAAGGCUACGGCUCAACCGUAGUAAGCUCUUGAAACUGGGAGACUUGAGUGCAGGAGAGGAGAGUGGAAUUCCUAGUGUAGCGGUGAAAUGCGUAGAUAUUAGGAGGAACACCAGUUGCGAAGGCGGCUCUCUGGACUGUAACUGACGCUGAGGCACGAAAGCGUGGGGAGCAAACAGGAUUAGAUACCCUGGUAGUCCACGCUGUAAACGAUGAGUACUAGGUGUCGGGGGUUACCCCCUUCGGUGCCGCAG